UUCUAAAAAUUUGUACAGGCUUCGAUCUGGCUGCAGGUUUGGAAAAAUAGUUUGGUUAAAUUUUCAUCUACGGACAAACCAUCCACCCAAUAUUUGCAACGAAGGUGCAAACACAUUUGUCUGCAAUAAAUACAAGUGGAACGUAAUCAAUGGCCGAUCAGUAUUCGAAUUAUGGCGGUGGCGGUGGCGGUAUGAUGCCCAACAAUUUUGGGGGACAACAAAAUUUCUCUGUUCCACCACCAAGUUUCGGAGGUAAUCAACAGUUCAAAAA